rnacentral:rRNA from 1 species
GACGAACGCUGGCGGCGUGCUUAACACAUGCAAGUCGAACGGUGAAGCGCCUUCCUUUUUGGUGGGUGUGGAUGAGUGGCGAACGGGUGAGUAACACGUGAGUAACCUGCCCCCUUCUUCUGGAUAACCGCAUGAAAGUGUGGCUAAUACGGGAUAUUCUGGGUCUGUCGCAUGAUGGGUCUGGGAAAGAUAUUGUUUCGGUGGGGGAUGGGCUCGCGGCCUAUCAGCUUGUUGGUGGGGUGAUGGCCUACCAAGGCGGUGACGGGUAGCCGGCCUGAGAGGGUGGACGGUCACACUGGGACUGAGACACGGCCCAGACUCCUACGGGAGGCAGCAGUGGGGAAUAUUGCACAAUGCGCGCAAGCCUGAUGCAGCGACGCCGCGUGAGGGAUGGAGGCCUGCGGGUUGUGAACCUCUUUCGCCAGUGAAGCAGGCCUGCCUCGUUUGUGGGUGGGUUGACGGUAGCUGGAUAAGAAGCGCCGGCUAACUACGUG